AGCUCACACUGAAGCUCACCGUUAUCUUAUCAUCAUGAAGGACUGAAGAAAUGUGAGCGUUCCAUUGGAUCUUAGCUGAGAAGUCUAUCAAAGACUCUGCAGCUCGGACCACAGUUCCCACAGAGGACCUGGCAAUGGUCGAGGCCCCCUUCAAACCUCUGGAGUCGGCUGAGGCCAAGAACCUUUCCCUCAAGAGUUUGAUGUCCAGAUUCAGAGGUGUUCUCGAUGGCGGACGUCAGACCAGUUGCUGGUGUGUUUCGGGUCGCCCAGUUCCCGCAUCCGAACAGACCAUCAUCACCUGGAUCUCUAUGGCCUAUCAGGUGCAGCUUCACAUUUGGCCACCAGGGCUCAUUCAACCUGUGGCAUGGCGUCAUAAACUGAACACAAUAGGGCCCAAUACUGAGCCUUGAGGAACUCUAAAACUGUAUAACAAUAACACCGAAACAUAAACCUUUGCUUCCUGUUUGAUAAAUAUGAAAUCAUACUGUAACACACGUAUGUCUCAUACAUUUAAUGGCAUCAAUAUAAAGAUUAAAAACUUUGAUUGGAGCACCCUGUUUCAAACACCUUCUUUCAGAAAACGCUCCUAUUCUAAAAACCUAUUUUAAUUAUCAUUGAUUUGGUUACACUCAAUUGCACAAAGAGUCUGGUGUGAGUGUAUCGUAAAUAUUUUUUAUUGACUUAGAAAUCAAGUGACAAUGUUGAAAAAUAUAUGAUAUGGCUUUAAAUUGAAUUAGUAGCAUAUCUGGUUUCAGGCAGAAUUAACAUAAUGCAGUUCCUGACUGUGACUGAAUAUGGCUCAUAUAGGGGGACGUAUCCUACGUCGAAGUAAUUAUAAACUCAACAUAUAAUGAUUUAAUCCCAGAGUGAGCAAUUCCAGUCGGUCCUUUCUCAUGUAAUGGACUUUAUGACAUUAAUAUAGGGAUUUAGGAUGAUUUCAAACACAGCUCAUAAUAUCACCAGAGACAGCAACAUAGUGUCGGGCCAGAUCCGGCCCUCAUCCGGUGCACACUCCACACGGCCUGGACUUGGGCCGACACUAUCUAUGUUGCUGUCCUCAUCUCAUAUUUCAGCUGAAGUAGAUCUUAAAAUGAAAUGGGGAACACAAUGAACAGUGACUCGUAGUUUAAAAUUUUAAUGUAAAAUUAUAAUAAGAUGGAGUGGAAGUACUCAAACAUCACACCGCAUAGAACAGAGAAGAGCAAAAGAAGAGCAAAUGAA